rnacentral:misc_RNA from 1 species
GCCGACGUUGAGGAUUGGAGAUCUCAGCGAUUUCAUAGCACCGUCUCAGGCUUGUGUCGUCUCUUUAAAGGGAUUGAAAUCAAACACAAUGAAACCUGAUAAAUAGGAUGUUUCAAUUGCUAAGAAUCAGCAAACUGAACCCGUUAAAAUCUCGCUCAAGGACUGUUUGGCAUGCAGGCCGGACAAGGUUUACCAUGUCACUGUGAUGCCUUGUUAUGAUAAGAAGCUUGAGGUUGCAAGGGGAUGACUUUGUUUUUGAAGUGGGCCGGACAAGGUUUUAGUAGCAGAUCCCUUUGAGAAUCCUCUUGUUAAAGGCUUUUAUGAUGAGUGGCUUGAAGUACCUGGCUCAGAGACGGCUAAGAAAUUCUUUCACACAGCAAUUCUUGCACACAGCAUAUCAUCCUGUGGUUCAGAGCGUAACUGCUCGGUUACAUAACUGGUAACACUGGUUCCUAUGUCUGAUCCCACACAAAAUAUCAGAACUUCCCUAUGCUGUCAGUCCUUGGGCUUGUUUUCUCUAAGGUAUUUUUGCAGUCUCACGGAUAAUCUAUCAUCACUGGUUCAUUGCUUGCUCAUCAUUUUGCAGUGGAGUUCAGUUUUGGUAGUGUUAACAGAUUUAUUAUUGUACCAUGUUCUACUAAUAUAUAUGCUCUAUGCUAGAGGCCUUUUAGAUAGGAGGAAAAAUUGGUUAUAUGACAAAUGUAACCCAUCAUUAUUUUUU